AGGUGAGUGUACCGUUUUAAAAGAAUAAAAUUAAAUUAAAUGUGUAAAAGUGCUGUGAAAAGAAUUUUAAUUAAGGUUACUUGUUGCAGAAUAUAUUAAAGGAAAUUAAAAAUAUAAAUGCGGGUGUGAAAACGAUACACUAAAAGUUUUUUCAUUGGAUAAAUGUAUCUGUAUUUGCGGGGAAAGAAAACAAGGAGGCAUUUUGAGUUAGUGAAGUAGUCGGUCGGUCGGUUGAUUAAUUGGCUUUUAGCGUGUACCGUACCUUCUCAUAUUGUCCGCUAUAUCAAUAAUCGGUUUCCUUUUCUACCGUGAGUGAGCAGGAGAACUGGUGUUGUUCGGUUUUUAGUGCAACAGUGUUGCCGCUAUCAGAAAAAGAAUUAAGAUGGAGGAGGAUAGCUGCUGGCAAAAAUGUCGGAAUUGUGAAUGAAAAGCGAAUACCAUUGCUCAUUUAAACAGUGCUUUAAUAAAAGAAAACUGAAUAAAAUUGCAAGAAAUUCUGCAGAUAAACGUCUAAGAGAAAUAGUUUUAUUUUGUGUUAUUAAUUUAGUUUGUUAAUUUGGCCAAAAUUCUAUCCCUACUAAAUAAAAUGAGCAGUUCCGAAGAAGUCUCUUGGGUAACAUGGUUUUGUGGGCUGCGCGGCAAUGAAUUCUUUUGUGAGGUUGAUGAGGAUUAUAUACAAGAUAAAUUUAAUUUAACUGGAUUAAAUGAACAAGUUCCCAAUUAUAGAAAUGCUCUUGAUAUGAUCCUUGAUCUCGAACCAGAAGACGAUCUGGAAGAGAAUCAACUGCAAUCAGAUAUGACGGAGCAGGCGGCAGAAAUGCUGUAUGGCUUGAUACAUGCCCGAUAUAUUUUGACAAAUCGCGGAAUUGCGCAAAUGAUCGAAAAAUACCAAACUGGUGAUUUUGGACAUUGCCCACGUGUAUAUUGUGAAAGCCAGCCCAUGUUACCUUUAGGUCUAUCAGAUAUACCUGGUGAGGCUAUGGUAAAAACCUAUUGCCCCAAAUGUAUUGAUGUAUAUACGCCAAAAUCGUCGCGUCAUCAUCACACGGAUGGUGCUUACUUUGGCACGGGAUUUCCACACAUGCUCUUCAUGGUUCAUCCUGAAUAUCGUCCUAAGCGGCCGACUAAUCAAUUUGUUCCAAGACUUUAUGGCUUCAAAAUUCAUAGCUUAGCUUAUCAAAUUCAACUACAGGCAGCAGCCACCGUUAAAAUGCCACUUCGAGCGAAAAAUUAAUAAAAAUUAAGAAAUACAAACCACAAAAACAACUCAAGCAAACUUAAAAAUGUAGAGAUCAUGAUGAAAGUUCGUUUUGUUUAAGAAAUAAAUUGAAAGGCAGCCAAAAACACACACACAAACAACAUUAGAAACUGAGAUACAAUAACUAAUCAGCACAAAAUGUAUUGAAUUUUCCAUGGAAAUCGUCUUCACUAUAUGCAAAACACAAAACACACAUUAACUUUCACAGUCAAGCAACCUACAUUUGCUAAUGUAUUGAAGUUUUGUAUUGUUAACGCAUGUCAUAAAACACUACUUAGACAUAUUUUCAUUUCAUCCAAUUCUUCCCAACACAAAUGCAUCAUAAAAGUGACGAAAUUCAAUACAAUAUCGAAGCUUUUUCUAAUACGCCGUAUUUUUUAUUUUUAUAUAUAUAUAACUCCUCUGGUAGGAAUGAGAUAAACAUUCACAGAUUCACAUCAACUUGCAUUCUGUUAAUGUAGUUUUGAAUGAUGAAUAAAUUUUAAUAUUCAAAAAUAAUGAUUUUGUAUACACGCUCUUAAUGGAAAGUGAACUUAAUUGAAACUAAAAACAUAAGUUGAUAUAAUUUCACUAAGUCAUAAGUGAACGAUUUUUAUUAAGCUAUCAUAUAGAAGUCCGGAAAAUUAUAGGUUAAAUAGUGUAGUCAUGAUUUUCAGUCUAUAAUCUGUUUAAAAACAUUUGUAUUAUUAUAUACUAAAAAAAUAUAUAUACAAUUAAAAUAACUCCGUUUAAAUAAACAUAGAAUGUUUCGCAUCGAUACAUUAGGAUAAAAUCCAGGCACUUUUUUUACUUGUAUUUAAAACCUGGAUUACUUGCAUGUAAUGAUAUAAUUUUUUUUUUAUGUAUGAAAUUUUAAUAUAAAAAUUACGUUUUCGAUGUUAGUCGAAUCGUAUUAUUUAGCUAUAGUUAACAUUGAUGGAUAAGUGGUGUCAUUUCAUGCAUCAUGAAAAUGCCAGUGAUAACAGAUUUAUAUAUUUUCGAGUAAAUAUUUUUAUACAUAGUUUAUAGGCGACAAACACUUUUAACUUGGACCCAGCGAAAAUACCAUACAGUCGUAUUUUCAUUUUCAAGUGAACUGAAAGAAUGUAUACCUUCCAAGAACACAACUGCAUACUUGUAUUUCUACUAGAGUAUGUGUGUAUACAUUAUUUUGUUUAUGUGGCUAAAAGAAGUGUCUAGGUGUGUUAUAUACUAGCAGCGAUCAGCUAUGUGCGUACAUCUCAAUUUUGUCUGCCUCCUUAUGACUAUAUUGCCCUCUGUCAGGAAAUUCUAAGCCGCCCAGAUCCAGAAGCUGAAGGGGAGUGAAGGAUUCUCCUCCCAAUAGCCCUUCAACAGAAUUUAAUGCAAAACAAAUAUAUGUGCAUGUAUUCGAUGCGUAACAUGUCAAUAUUUUAUUGCCUUUGUAUAAAACAAUAAUGUACAGUUUUAAUUAAAUUUUCAUUGUUAUUAAGAUAAA